AAUUUGCAUCAAGAGUGAGAUUAAUUUCUCCUCCAACCUGCCAACUCCGGCAAGGUGGAAAAGUGAUGCGGUUAUUCAACAAUUAAAGGAGUAGAA
rnacentral:ncRNA from 10 species